AUGCCAAUCCCGCCCCCCUUCGGUCUCCUCGAGCCUCUGAAGCUCGUCAACGAUGACAGUCGGCUGGGCCGCUCCCCUUCGAUACCGGAGAACACGCCAGUGCACAUCAUGGUUCCCGUCGAUGCCCGGAUGGCGGUCCUUGUGUCCAUCGACGGGAGCGGGAACGUCACGAUGAGCGCUCCGUCCAGGCGCAUACCUAUAAUCAGGGUCGGGAAGUUCGAGGCCACUACCUCCUUCGGCGCGGGGCCACUGUCAUUCGUUGACCUACAUACUGAUGGGCACUACUCCGGCAUAGAUUUCCCCGUUUCUGCUGGGGCGUACAGAAGCAUCGGGGAAAUCAUCAAGGCAACCUGCUCCUGCUUAAGCCGCCGCUGCCCCUCUCACUAUCAGCAUGAGGAUGGUCCCUCUGCGCUGCAACAGCCGAGUGACUCGUCCCCCACUACAACGUCUGAGGACUUGGAGGAGGCCAUGUUUGAGGCAGCUCCAACAUUUGAGGCCACUUCCUCUACCUGUCUGUGGGCACAGGCAGUAACUCCCGGGUCACCCAUGUCACCCAUUUUGAGCCAUAUAAGACAUGAUUGGGGUCUGGAAUAUUACAUCAGGGUUGAUCACAAAGGAUCAUUCCACACAUAUCCUGACAUUGGUGGCCCGUUUCAGACCUUGCAACAAGCUAAAAAUGCCAUUGAUCAACAUCUUCAUGGCCGUCGUCACACCUCAAUGUGCAUGAAGCAAGCUGGUGUUUCUCAAAAGGAGAUGGGUAUACGGCAGUGUCUUUUUUGGCCCGAUGGCACAAGGAAGAAGCGCACAAAAUCAUAUAUAUUUAAGAAGGGCCAUGAACAUAUAUCCAGAUUGGUGUGUGCUAUAGUGGACCAGUAUAAUGAGGAUCACAAUCUUUUGGGGGAUCUUGCAUACAAACUCAAAGACAUGGUGAGACACAAAUCAUUUCGUGAGAAGGAUGAAUGGUACCGCCAUCUGAAUUUCACCGCAAAGAUUUAA
rnacentral:rRNA from 1 species